AGCGAACGCUGGCGGCAGGCCUAACACAUGCCAGUCGAACGAACCUUUCGGGGUUAGUGGCGGACGGGUAAGUAACACGUGGGAACGUGCCUUUAGGUUCGGAAUAACUCAGGGAAACUUGUGCUAAUACCGAAUGUGCCCUUCGGGGGAAAGAUUUAUCGCCUUUAGAGCGGCCCGCGUCUGAUUAGCUAGUUGGUUGAGGUAAUGGCUCACCAAGGCGACGAUCAGUAGCUGGUCUGAGAGGAUGAUCAGCCACAUUGGGACUGAGACACGGCCCAAACUCCUACGGGAGGCAGCAGUGGGGAAUCUUGCGCAAUGGGCGAAAGCCUGACGCAGCCAUGCCGCGUGAAUGAUGAAGGUCUUAGGAUUGUAAAAUUCUUUCACCGGGGACGAUAAUGACGGUACCCGGAGAAGAAGCCCCGGCUAACUUCGUG
rnacentral:rRNA from 1 species